CCUGGAUGCUUGCAUCCAGGGGUUGUAGGACUGAUGUUGAGUUACAAAGGUAUAAGAUAGCAGAAACAGUUGGGAAGCUGUUCCAAAGAGGGUGACAGGCCCGUAUGCGAAAUCUUGUACUCUCUAAUCAGGAUCCUGAGUACGGCCCAGCACGUGAAAUUGGGUCGGAAUCUGGGAGGACCAUCUCCCAAGGCUAAAUACUAACUAGUGACCGAUAGCGAACAAGUACCGUGAGGGAAAGGUGAAAAGAACCCCGGAAGGGGAGUGAAAUAGUUCUUGAAACCGUGUGCUUACAAGAAGUUCGAGGCCGUUAAUGGCUGAGAGCGUGCUUUUUGUAGAAUGAACCGGAGAGUUACGAUUGCGUGCAAGGUUAAGGUGCAAAGACUGGAGCCGUAGCGAAAGCGAGUCUUAAUAGGGCGAAUCAGUACGUAGUUGUAGACCCGAAACCGAGUGACCUAUCCA
rnacentral:rRNA from 1 species